rnacentral:rRNA from 1 species
GAUGAACGCUGGCGGCGUGCCUAAUACAUGCAAGUCGAGCGAACGGACGAGAAGCUUGCUUCUCUGAUGUUAGCGGCGGACGGGUGAGUAACACGUGGAUAACCUACCUAUAAGACUGGGAUAACUUCGGGAAACCGGAGCUAAUACCGGAUAAUAUUUUGAACCGCAUGGUUCAAAAGUGAAAGACGGUCUUGCUGUCACUUAUAGAUGGAUCCGCGCUGCAUUAACUAGUUGGUAAGGUAACGGCUUACCAAGGCAACGAUGCAUAGCCGACCUGAGAGGGUGAUCGGCCACACUGGAACUGAGACACGGUCCAGACUCCUACGGGAGGCAGCAGUAGGGAAUCUUCCGCAAUGGGCGAAAGCCUGACGGAGCAACGUCGCGUGAGUGAUGAAGGUCUUCGGAUCGUAAAACUCUGUUAUUAGGGAAGAACAUAUGUGUAAGUAACUGUGCACAUCUUGACGGUACCUAAUCAGAAAGCCACGGCUAACUACGUG